rnacentral:rRNA from 1 species
CCUACGGGAGGCAGCAGUCGAGAAUCUUCCUCAAUGGACGAAAGUCUGAAGGAGCAAUGCCGCGUGGUUGAUGAAGCUCUUCGGAGUGUAAAAACCUUUUAUCAGGGACGAAUUCGUGGCGGUACCUGAUGAAUAAGUCACUGCUAACUACGUGCCAGCAGCAGCGGUAAUACGUAGGUGGCAAGCGUUACCCGGAUUUAUUGGGCGUAAAGCGUCCGCAGACGGUUUAGAUAGUUCGUAGUUAAAUCUUGAGGCUCAACUUCAAGACCGCUACGAAUACUUCUAAACUAGAGAUUGGGAGAGGUAAGCGGAAUUAUCGGUGUAGUAGUCAAAUGCGUUGAUAUCGAUAAGAACACCAACAGCGAAGGCAGCUUACUAGAACAAUUCUGACGUUCAGGGACGAAAGCGUGGGUAGCGAAUGGGAUUAGAUACCCGGGUAGUC